GACAGAGGUCCCGAGCGUUAGGCGGAAUCGCUGGGCUUAAAGCGUGUGUAGGCGGACUUCUAAGUACCUUGUGAAAUCCCACGGCUCAACCGUGGAACUGCUUGGUAUACUGGUUGUCUUGGGCCAUCUAGGGGCGAGCGGAACAAACGGUGGAGCGGUGAAAUGCGUAGAUAUCGUUUGGAACGCCAAUGGUGAAAACAGCCCGCUGGGGAUGUGCCGACGCUGGAGACACGAAGCCAGGGGAGCGAACGGG
rnacentral:rRNA from 1 species